GGCGGCGUGCUUAACACAUGCAAGUCGAACGGAAAGGCCCUGCUUUUGUGGGGUGCUCGAGUGGCGAACGGGUGAGUAACACGUGAGUAACCUGCCCUUGACUUUGGGAUAACUUCAGGAAACUGGGGCUAAUACCGGAUAGGAGCUCCUGCUGCAUGGUGGGGGUUGGAAAGUUUCGGCGGUUGGGGAUGGACUCGCGGCUUAUCAGCUUGUUGGUGGGGUAGUGGCUUACCAAGGCUUUGACGGGUAGCCGGCCUGAGAGGGUGACCGGCCACAUUGGGACUGAGAUACGGCCCAGACUCCUACGGGAGGCAGCAGUGGGGAAUAUUGCACAAUGGGCGGAAGCCUGAUGCAGCAACGCCGCGUGCGGGAUGACGGCCUUCGGGUUGUAAACCGCUUUCGCCUGUGACGAAGCGUGAGUGACGGUAAUGGGUAAAGAAGCACCGGCUAACUACGUGCCAGCAGCCGCGGUGAUACGUAGGGUGCGAGCGUUGUCCGGAUUUAUUGGGCGUAAAGGGCUCGUAGGUGGUUGAUCGCGUCGGAAGUGUAAUCUUGGGGCUUAACCCUGAGCGUGCUUUCGAUACGGGUUGACUUGAGGAAGGUAGGGGAGAAUGGAAUUCCUGGUGGAGCGGUGGAAUGCGCAGAUAUCAGGAGGAACACCAGUGGCGAAGGCGGUUCUCUGGGCCUUUCCUGACGCUGAGGAGCGAAAGCGUGGGGAGCGAACAGGCUUAGAUACCCUGGUAGUCCACGCUGUAAACGGUGGGUACUAGGUGUGGGGUCCAUUCCACGGGUUCCGUGCCGUAGCUAACGCUUUAAGUACCCCGCCUGGGGAGUACGGCCGCAAGGCUAAAACUCAAAGGAAUUGACGGGGCCCCGCACAAGCGGCGGAGCAUGCGGAUUAAUUCGAUGCAACGCGUAGAACCUUACCUGGGUUUGACAUGGAUCGGGAGUGCUCAGAGAUGGGUGUGCCUCUUUUGGGGUCGGUUCACAGGUGGUGCAUGGCUGUCGUCAGCUCGUGUCGUGAGAUGUUGGGUUAAGUCCCGCAACGAGCGCAACCCUUGUUCACUGUUGCCAGCACGUUAUGGUGGGGACUCAGUGGAGACCGCCGGGGUCAACUCGGAGGAAGGUGGGGAUGACGUCAAGUCAUCAUGCCCCCUAUGUCCAGGGCUUCACGCAUGCUACAAUGGCUGGUACAGAGAGUGGCGAGCCUGUGAGGGUGAGCGAAUCUCGGAAAUCCGGUCUCAGUUCGGAUUGGGGUAUGCAACUAGACCUCAUGAAGUCGGAGUCGCUAGUAAUCGCAGAUCAGCAACGCUGCGGUGAAUACGUUCCCGGGGCUUGUACACACCGCCCGUCAAGUCAUGAAAGUUGGUAACACCCGAAGCCGGUGGCCUAACCGUUGUGGGGGAGCCGUCGAAGGUGGGACUGGUGAUUAGG
rnacentral:rRNA from 1 species